rnacentral:rRNA from 1 species
UACGGGAGGGGCAAGCGCUGUUCGGAAUUACUGGGCGUAAAGGGCCAGUAGGCGGCCAACUAAGUCCGACGUGAAAUCCCAAGGCUUAACCUUGGAACUGCGUCGGAUACUGGAUGGCUUGAAUUCGGGAGAGGGAUGCAGAAUUCCAGGUGUAGCGGUGAAAUGCGUAGAUAUCUGGAGGAAUACCGGUGGCGAAGGCGGCAUCCUGGACCGACAUUGACGCUGAUGAGCGAAAGCUAGGGGAGCAAACGGG